UCUCUCUCAUGGGUGGAGGGCUGACCUGUGUGAUCAAUAGGCUAUUAUGGAAGUCACGGUGUAUGGCUCCUGAGGCUAGGUCAAAAGGGCCUUGUGGCUCGCACCUUGCUCUCCUUUGGAUCACUGACUCUGAGGGAAGACAGCUACUCUGUUGGGAGGACACUCAAGCAGCUCUGGGGAGGGGGCCACACGGAGAGGAACAGCAGCCCCUGCUCAACAGCCAGCACCAACUUGCCAGGCACGUGAGUGAGUCACCUUGGAAACAGAUGUGUGGUCAAGCCUUCGGAUGACCGUGGCCCCAGCCAACAUCUUGCCUGCAACCUCAUGACAUAUCCUGGACCAGAACCGCACAGCCUAGCCACAGACCCACAGCAAUUGAAACCUACCCAGACACUCCUCGCAUGGAGCCCCAAACCUUGUAGACAAAAUUGAGCCAGAGAUGUGCCAUACUUCACCUCUGCCUUGGGAUGAACAAUUUUGGUUGGUUUCUGAGAAGGGAGAGGUCUCGCCCAUCUUGUUUAUUCUCAUAUGAUCAGUGCUUCGCACAAUGACUAGAACCUAGCAGGUGCACAAUAUAUAUUUGUUGAAUAAAUUAACAAAUUUAA